rnacentral:rRNA from 1 species
GACGAACGCUGGCGGCGUGCCUAAUACAUGCCAGUUGAGCGCUGAAGGUUGGUACUUGUACCAACUGGAUGAGCAGCGAACGGGUGAGUAACGCGUGGGGAAUCUGCCUUUGAGCGGGGGGCAACAUUUGGAAACGAAUGCUAAUACCGCAUAAAAACUUUAAACACAAGUUUUAAGUUUGAAAGAUGCAAUUGCAUCACUCAAAGAUGAUCCCGCGUUGUAUUAGCUAGUUGGUGAGGUAAAGGCUCACCAAGGCGAUGAUACAUAGCCGACCUGAGAGGGUGAUCGGCCACAUUGGGACUGGGACACGGCCCAAACUCCUACGGGAGGCAGCAGUAGGGAAUCUUCGGCAAUGGACGAAAGUCUGACCGUGCAACGCCGCGUGAGUGAAGAAGGUUUUCGGAUCGUAAAACUCUGUUGGUAGAGAAGAACGUUGGUGGGAGUGGAAAGCUCAUCAAGUGACGGUAACUACCCAGAAAGGGACGGCUAACUACGUG